AUUGAACGCUGGCGGAAUGCUUUACACAUGCAAGUCGAACGGCAGCACGGGGGCAACCCUGGUGGCGAGUGGCGAACGGGUGAGUAAUACAUCGGAACGUGCCCAGUCGUGGGGGAUAACGUAGCGAAAGUUACGCUAAUACCGCAUACGAUCUACGAAUGAAAGCGGGGGACCGUAAGGCCUCGCGCGAUUGGAGCGGCCGAUGUCAGAUUAGGUAGUUGGUGAGGUAAAGGCUCACCAAGCCGACGAUCUGUAGCUGGUCUGAGAGGACGGCCAGCCACACUGGGACUGAGACACGGCCCAGACUCCUACGGGAGGCAGCAGUGGGGAAUUUUGGACAAUGGGCGCAGGCCUGAUCCAGCCAUUCCGCGUGCAGGACGAAGGCCUUCGGGUUGUAAACUGCUUUUGUACGGAACGAAAAGGCUCUGGUUAAUACCUGGGGCUCAUGACGGUACCGUAAGAAUAAGCACCGGCUAACUAUGUGCCAGCAGCCGCAGUAA
rnacentral:rRNA from 1 species